CUACGGGGGGCAGCAGUGAGGAAUAUUGCACAAUGGGGGGAACCCUGAUGCAGCAACGCCGCGUGGAGGAUGACGCAUUUCGGUGUGUAAACUCCUUUUAUAUGUCAAGAAAAUGACGGUAGCAUAUGAAUAAGCACCGGCUAACUCCGUGCCAGCAGCCACGGUAAUACGGAGGGUGCAAGCGUUACUCGGAAUCACUGGGCGUAAAGGACGCGUAGGCGGGCUUGUAAGUCAGGUGUGAAAUCCUACAGCUUAACUGUAGAACUGCACUUGAAACUACGAGCCUAGAGUAUGGGAGGGGGAGAUGGAAUUAGUGGUGUAGGGGUAAAAUCCGUAGAUAUCACUAGGAAUACCUAAAGCGAAGGCGAUCUCCUGGAACAUAACUGACGCUAAGGCGUAAAAGCGUGGGGAGCAAACAGGAUUAGAUACCCUCGUAGUC
rnacentral:rRNA from 1 species